AGAGUUUGAUCCUGGCUCAGGAUGAACGCUGGCGGCGUGCCUAAUACAUGCAAGUCGAACGGUCUACGCAAGUAGAUAGUGGCGAACGGGUGAGUAACGCGUUGGUGACCUGCCCCUUAGAGAGGGAUAACAGCUCGAAGGAGCUGCUAAUACCGCAUAAGAUCCCGAAGUUUAGAAGUUUGGGAUGAAAGCCGAAAGGCACUGAGGGAGGGACCUGCGUCCCAUCAGCUAGUUGGUGAGGUAACGGCCCACCAAGGCGAUGACGGGUAGGGGACCUGAGAGGGUGGCCCCCCACAAUGGAACUGAAACACGGUCCAUACACCUACGGGUGGCAGCAGUAGGGAAUAUUGGGAAUGGGCGAAAGCCUGACCCAGCAACGCCGCGUGAGUGAUGAAGGCCUUCGGGUUGUAAAACUUUUUUUACGGGGACGAGGAAGGACGGUACCCGUAGAAUAAGUCUCGGCUAACUACGUGCCAGCAGCCGCGGUAACACGUAGGAGACAAGCGUUAUCCGGAUUUACUGGGUGUAAAGCGCGUGCAGGCGGUCCAAUAAGUUGGAUGUGAAAGCUCCUGGCUUAACUGGGAGAGGUCGUACAAGACUGUUGGACUAGAGGAUGACAGAGGGGAGUGGAAUUCUGAGUGUAGCGGUAAAAUGCAUAGAUAUUCGGAAGAACACCAGUGGCGAAGGCGGCUCUCUGGGUCAUAUCUGACGCUCAGACGCGAAAGCUAGGGUAGCAAACGGGAUUAGAGACCCCGGUAGUCCUAGCCGUAAACGAUGUGAACUUGGCGUUGGUGGGUUCAAAUCCAUCAGUGCCGAAGCAAACGCGAUAAGUUCACCACCUGGGGACUACGGCCGCAAGGUUAAAACUCAAAGGAAUUGACGGGGGCCCGCACAAGCAGCGGAGCGUGUGGUUUAAUUCGAUAUUACACGAAGAACCUUACCAGGGUUUGACAUGCAAGUGGUAGAGAAGCGAAAGUGGAUCGACCCUUCGGGGAGCUUGCACAGGUGUUGCAUGGCUGUCGUCAGCUCGUGUCGUGAGAUGUUCGGUUAAGUCCGCUAACGAGCGCAACCCACGUCGCGUGUUACAAGUGUCACGCGAUACUGCCGGUCUUAAGCCGGAGGAAGGUUGGAUGACGUCAAGUCAGCAUGACCUUUAUGUCCUGGGCUACACACACGCUACAAUGGCCAGUACAACGGGUAGCGAAGCCGCGAGGCGGAGCCAAUCCACAAAGCUGGUCUCAGUUCAGAUUACAGGCUGCAACCCGCCUGUAUGAAGCUGGAGUUGCUAGUAACCGCAGGUCAGCUAUACUGCGGUGAAUACGUUCCCGGGCCUUGUACACACCGCCCGUCACGUCAUGGGAGCUGGUAACACCUGAAGCUGGUAUCCUAACCGCAAGGAGGGAGCCAUCGAGGGUGGGGCUGGUGACUGGGACGAAGUCGUAACAAGGUAGGAGUACCGGAAGGUGCGCCUGG
rnacentral:rRNA from 1 species